CCUGACCGGAAAUAGUGGCUUUAAACAAUGUGCGCUUAAUGGUUUCGACCUCCAGCCUCAGCAGCAGAAUCCGCACCGCUCUCCGCUGCGUCGGUGACCGCCUCCCCCCACAGGACAGCGGCUGCACGUCGGACACAGAGCCUGCCCGAGGGAAGGCGGGGGCUGGUGUGGGGUGCGGACAGCUCCCGGCUCCGCUGCUGCUGGAUGGACGAAUGGAGCCCGGCUGCAUGCACACAGCAAUGGCUAUGGGUCUGAUGUCGAAGAAGGCGUCCGUCCGGAGCGUCGGUGUGGAAAGAAAGAACCUCAUCACGGUGUGCAGGUUCUCGGUCAAGACUCUCUUGGAAAAGUACACGGCGGAGCCCAUCGACGACUCAGCCGAAGAGUUCGUCAACUUUGCCGCCAUCUUGGAACAUAUCCUCAGUCACCGCUUUAAAGGCUCAGCCAGCUGGUUCAGCUCAGAUGGACAGCGCAGCUUCUGGGAGUACAUCCGGCUGGCCUGUAGUAAGGUGCAGAACAACUGCAUCAGCAGCAUCGAGAACAUUGAGAACAUCAGCACGUCUCGAGCCAAGGGUCGGGCAUGGAUUCGAGUGGCGCUAAUGGAGAAACGUCUUUCGGAAUACGUGUCCACUGCCCUGAGGGACACCAGAACGACCAGGAGGUUCUACGACGACGGUGCCAUCAUGCUGAGGGAAGAGGCCACGGUGCUGACCGGCAUGCUCAUUGGCCUCGGCGCCAUCGACUUUAGUUUCUGCCUGAAGGGUGAAACAUUGGACGGCAAGUCCCCGGCGGUGAUUGACUACACUCCCUACUUGAAGUUCACUCAGAGCUAUGACUGCUUAAGCGACGACGAGGACCGGCGCAGCGUAGACAGCAGCAACAGUGAGGAGAGCGUACCCGAGCAUCCUUACGUCCCGCUAGUCACCGAUGAGGAGAGCUGGAGUAACAAGUGCCGCAAGAUGGAGCAGCGAUUUAAGAUCGUAUACGCCCAGAAGGGCUACUUGGAGGAGCUGGUUCGCCUUCGUGAGUCACAGCUAAAGAACAUCGAGAUGGACAACAAGCGUCUGAGGGCAAAAGUGGAAGAGCUGACAUUGCAGAGUCAGCGCGAGAAGAAGGAGCUGGAGGCCGUUGUGCUGGAGCUGCAGGCUCAGCUCUCCUCCCUCAUGCCCUGCGACCCUUCCCACCUGGGAAAAAACCUUCCCAUCCCUCUCAUCAACCAGUGGACCGCCAUCAACGACCACCGGAGAGACGUCAAACUCUUCCGCAGACAUUAUUGUGGUUCCUCCAGGAGGAGUUUCCACAGUUUGGAGCAACUUUCCGCCAAGAACAGCCUCAACUUGGACUCUCAGAGGACCGACGAGAGGCAAAACGGAGACGCUGAUUGGACUUCAGCAGGAAAGGACAACACACCAUCAAUGUUGGGCCUCUGCGGCUCUUUGGCGUCGCUACCGAGCUCCAAGUCGCUGACCAGCCUCAAGUCCAGCGAGUGUCUGGUCAACAUCAGCACCGAGCCCAGCCCCGCGCUCUCCCCCAGCUAGGACAUACCACCCGACAACCCUUCCUCGCCUUUCAAUUUCCUCCCUCUCACCCUGGACCAACCGCCAACGUCUCCACGAAUGUACAGCAAGAAUUCUGGUCGUUAUUAUCUUUGCCUCUUUCGGUCUUUUUCUCACCCGCAACCAUUUUGUUGUCUCUCGGACAUCACAACAACACAAACCAGAUGUCAAUACUGUACUGUCAAACCAAAACAAACACGCAGCAUUGGAUGUGAGGCAACACCUCCUGUUUGGGCCUUCUUCCUUCUUUGUGCGCUUUAAACCUGAGAUUAUUGUUAUUAUUACUAUUGUUUUGUUUAAAGAAGCAAUCAUCAAUUUAACCGGAAAAUGCGAACUUUGGCUCCAUCUACCGGCAAUCAAUGGAAGAAAAUUCUAUAGGCCACUUUAUAAUGCA